rnacentral:rRNA from 1 species
UGGGGAAUAUUGCACAAUGGGGGAAACCCUGAUGCAGCAACGCCGCGUGAGUGAAGAAGUAUUUCGGUAUGUAAAGCUCUAUCAGCAGGGAAGAAAGUGACGGUACCUGACUAAGAAGCCCCGGCUAACUACGUGCCAGCAGCCGCGGUAAUACGUAGGGGGCAAGCGUUAUCCGGAUUUACUGGGUGUAAAGGGAGCGUAGACGGCACAGCAAGUCUGAAGUGAAAUCCCCGGGCUCAACCCGGGAACUGCUUUGGAAACUGUUGGGCUAGAGUGCUGGAGAGGCAAGCGGAAUUCCUAGUGUAGCGGUGAAAUGCGUAGAUAUUAGGAGGAACACCAGUGGCGAAGGCGGCUUGCUGGACAGUAACUGACGUUGAGGCUCGAAAGCGUGGGGAGCAAACAG